UCCUGUCUGCCCUUGAUGGAGCCACUGGUGGGGUUACUUGCUGGCGGUCGGCCACUUUCGCCCCUCCCUCGCCAGCCCGCCAGCUCCCUAAGGUUUUGUGGUUUUUUGUCACCACCACACCUCAGUGUUGAGCUAAGUGAGGACGUCCCCCCAGCAAAUGUAUUGGACGGAAGGAAACGGUGUGCGGGAGGAGGCGGAGGAAAGUAGGCCACCCGGGGCUCAAGUGAGAACAAGCACCAAGCCCUGUGGAUUUCAGAAGAACUCCACCUCCACGGAGUCCUCAAAGAUCUUCUCCUGAACUCCGCACUCCCCAGCCUUGAGAGGAGACACAGGAGCUGGAGGAAGCAGCUUUAUCCCUCACUUUGUGGUUCAGUCCAGCCUGUUUUCCAAGGAGUAAAGGGCAGUGGAAGGAUAACUAAGAAAAUAAUAAUAACAAAUGAAAGCAUCUCUGUGGA
rnacentral:misc_RNA from 1 species